CGUGUCGUGAGAUGUUGGGUUAAGUCCCGUAACGAGCGCAACCCUUGUCCUUAGUUACCAGCACGUUAUGGUGGGCACUCUAAGGAGACUGCCGGUGACAAACCGGAGGAAAGGUGGGGAUGACGUCAAGUCAUCAUGGCCCUUACGGCCUGGGCUACACACGUGCUACAAUGGUCGGUACAAAGGGUUGCCAAGCCGCGAGGUGGAGCUAAUCCCAUAAAACCGAUCGUAGUCCGGAUCGCAGUCUGCAACUCGACUGCGUGAAGUCGGAAUCGCUAGUAAUCGUGAAUCAGAAUGUCACGGUGAAUACGUUCCCGGGCCUU
rnacentral:rRNA from 1 species